ensembl:lncRNA LINC00906 long intergenic non-protein coding RNA 906
GUGUGUUCUCUGAGCACCUCGUGACCUUGCUGGGAGUGUGUCUGAUCAGCCGCUUCCCUUGUGACCAAAUAUUUGGUCAUGGCAGCAGGAGAGAAUUCCAUCAGUGGACAGCUCUAUUUUUAAGGCUCUGGCUUUGUUUUCUCUUUCCUGAGAGGCAGUCCCUGCAGCAGGCUUGAGCCUCUCUCACUGACAGCCUGCCUCGCAUAAUGUUAAGCAGGCAUCGGACACUUGCUGGAAGGCAGGGAAUUGCAAUGAAAGAGCACGGAGGUGAGAAGCUGUGCUCCUUGGGGUGAAGGCAGCUUCUGUGCUCCUGGGAUCUACUGUUAAGCCAGGGUGACGCCAGCUUGCAUGCUACCGGAGGGGAAGAGAAAAUUUGGACACACAGGGAGAAAACCACAGGGAGGAGAUGGCCAUCUACAAUUCCAGAAAAGCAGCCUCAGAAGAAACCAAUCUGCAAACAUCUUUAUCUGCAACUCCCUGCCUCCCAAAUGGAGUAAAGAGACAGAAAGGGAAUGAAUUUCCAAGAAGACCAGCGUA